rnacentral:rRNA from 1 species
UAAACGGCGGCCGUAACUAUAACGGUCCUAAGGUAGCGAAAUUCCUUGUCGGGUAAGUUCCGACCUGCACGAAUGGCGUAAUGAUGGCCAGGCUGUCUCCACCCGAGACUCAGUGAAAUUGAACUCGCUGUGAAGAUGCAGUGUACCCGCGGCAAGACGGAAAGACCCCGUGAACCUUUACUAUAGCUUGACACUGAACAUUGAGCCUUGAUGUGUAGGAUAGGUGGGAGGCUUUGAAGUGUGGACGCCAGUCUGCAUGGAGCCGACCUUGAAAUACCACCCUUUAAUGUUUGAUGUUCUAACGUUGGCCCCUAAUCGGGGUUGCGGACAGUGUCUGGUGGGUAGUUUGACUGGGGCGGUCUCCUCCUAAAGAGUAACGGAGGAGCACGAAGGUUGGCUAAUCCUGGUCGGACAUCAGGAGGUUAGUGCAAUGGCAUAAGCCAGCUUGACUGCGAGCGUGACGGCGCGAGCAGGUGCGAAAGCAGGUCAUAGUGAUCCGGUGGUUCUGAAUGGAAGGGCCAUCGCUCAACGGAUAAAAGGUACUCCGGGGAUAACAGGCUGAUACCGCCCAAGAGUUCAUAUCGACGGCGGUGUUUGGCACCUCGAUGUCGGCUCAUCACAUCCUGGGGCUGAAGUAGGUCCCAAGGGUAUGGCUGUUCGCCAUUUAAAGUGGUACGCGAGCUGGGUUUAGAACGUCGUGAGACAGUUCGGUCCCUAUCUGCCGUGGGCGCUGGAGAACUGAGGGGGGCUGCUCCUAGUACGAGAGGACCGGAGUGGACGCAUCACUGGUGUUCGGGUUGUCAUGCCAAUGGCACUGCCCGGUAGCUAAAUGCGGAAGAGAUAAGUGCUGAAAGCAUCUAAGCACGAAACUUGCCCCGAGAUGAGUUCUCCCUGACUCCUUGAGAGUCCUGAAGGAACGUUGAAGACGACGACGUUGAUAGGCCGGGUGUGUAAGCGCAGCGAUGCGUUGAGCUAACCGGUACUAAUGAACCGUGAGGCUUAACCUU